rnacentral:tRNA from 1 species
GCAGUGGUGGCUCACUGGUAGAAUUCUCGCCUUCCAUGCAGGAGACCCAGGUUCAAUUCCCAGCCAAUGCA